AGUCCCCAGCAUCCACUAGGACGUCAGAGAAACUAAUUUGUUGUUGAAGUUAAGCGGGUGUUGUGUUUAGUAAUGCUAUAAUGGAACAGCAGAUUAGCAUGCAGAAAUUGGUGACCUAAAACAGUUCACACAUCUUACUUAAGAAUAGUUUAUUAAAAUUACACACAAAAAAAAAAUAUGACAGUUAGGAGCUUAUUGUUUAUAAAAACAUGUAAACACAUUUAUUCACACACUACACCUCUACACAAAAAUAAACAAAUUAGCAUUAGACCAGGCACAUUUACCACAUCUCUAUAUAUAUAUUUUUUUUUAAAUUUAAAUGUUGAUGGGCAAUUAUGCCUACAAAGUGUUCUUCAGGUAUUCUUUGAAGACUUAAUUGGUCAUGACCAUUAUUCAUUACACUAAUUGUAAUCGUAAUUGAGGAAGGCUUGUGGAGUUUGAACUGAAAGGUGUAAUUUAACUUUAAAAAAAAAAGCCAUUGCUGUGCGGUUUUUAGCAAAAGCGUGUGCAAUUUUAAGAAGAAUGUGUAAAUCUACAAGAAGUUAGGAUUUUUAUGAUGAGGUUUGUGGUAAUGCGAUGGGUUCGCAUUAGUGCGAUGUCAUUUGGCAUACGCCUACUUUGUGUAAUACUGCGUACAAAAUAGCAAAAAUACGUUGGGGCGGAUAUUCGCUAUUGUGCAACAUGUUCGCAAUUUUGCGUAUAUGUUGUGGGAACGAAAAAAAUAGCGAUCAACUCGGAAUCACCCCCUAUGUCUGCUGCUUUUGGUUAAUAAUAUAGUCAAUGACCUUCUGGGCUUUAAAUGGUGCUUUCCCUACCUUCCCCUACGAUGCGCUGGUGGCUGAUGUAAUGCCGCUUGCUGAGGUCCAGAGGUGAUAGCCACGGGGACGCUUCCAAGUCCCAACGGUGGUGGCUGCAGGUGAUGUCAGGAGCCUGUUUCUGUGAGCCCGUGGUGUAGAGGUGCAAAGUCCCGAUUCCAUUAUAUGCUCCAACGUGUUUCGAAUCCAACCAGAUUCUUUUUCAAGCAAAAGAAGCAGAUGCUUACCUGAGCAUAAGGACGCCCACCGUUGCCUUCUCAUUUCCCUCUGAUGGCGAUGCUGAAACAUCAGUACCAUUGUCACAUAUCGGGUCAUCAUGCAGAUUCUGUGUGUCUCUAAAGACGUGCAGGCUGAACUGCUCUCCAAUUGCAAGUGAGAUUGCAUCUGCUAAUUUAUGCACGCCCAGGAAACACUAUCUAAAUGCCUGUGAUACGCCUGCGUUUGCUCAACCACACUCCAUUACCAUCCCCAAACAUUGAUUUCCUGUCACUCACAUUGUGACUAAUACCUCACUGCGAGCGCUACCGUAAUUCAGUAUCUGCAUGUGUGCCAUGCGGCUCAGAUGCAUGCACAGUACGAAAACAUUUACAGAAUUGUGAACUUCGGCCGCUUUGUGAUCACAUCUGAAUGAGGACCGUGGUGCAGUAACCUGUGCUGAAGAUCCAGGCUAUCUUUGUGGUCUUAUCAGAGAGGGGACCACUACACAAAAAUAGACUUGACACAAGCAUACCUGCAGGUACGGGUGAAGGAUUCUUCAAAGAAAUACCACACUAUAAAUACACACAGUACUGAUACAAUAUAACUGUAUUUGCAUGGCUUCCGCACUUUCCCUCUGGCAAAGAGCAAUGGAGCAAGUACUACAAGGAAUACCAGGUACCCAGUGCUAUCUAGAUGAUGUUAUGAAAUGACAAUGAAACAAUUUAAUGAAGGUUCUACCUCAACUACAAAAAUAGGGACAGUAAAAAACAAAUGCAACAUUUAUCAAAUAUCGUUCAAUAGACAUGGCUGGGUUGCAAGCAUCUCACCUACACAGCUUAGAUCAUAUCUUGGCUUAGUCAGUUACUGCCAUAAAUUAUUUUGCCAAAUGUCUCCACAGUCUUGCACCCACUGAAUGCACUUCUCUUAAAGAAUAUACAAUGAAAAUGGUCAUAAGAGUGUGAAAAAGCACUCUUGGAAACUAAAGAAUUGAUAGUAUUUUACAAAGUCUUAACUUAUUUUUCCCCACAGGUGCUUAUCAGGUAGCAAGUGAUGCUACACACACCUCAGUCAAAAUACUGAUGCCAGAAUCCCAACACUAUUCGGAAUGCCGACACCAGAAUCCUGAAUAGGGUCAAUAGACUGGUGCUAGAAUCCAGACAGCCAGGAUCCUGAACGAACGCCAGCCAACCAGACUGACAGGUCCCCACUAUCGUCUCAACUUGUGGAUCCCGUUAGAAGAACAUCCAUCCCCACCGUGGAAUCUUCACACAGCUAAACAAGGGACAAGCUUCUGCGGAUGCCUACCGCUUAAACACCUUGAACAACUGCUGGUGGUCAAACUGUCUCCAUGGUGACAGGAAUGCUCUUCAUGAUUAGCGCUACAAUUGGAUCAAAAAUCUUGUUUCUAUCUGAAGGUCCGCCAUCACGGCCCUCAAGUUCCCUUUAAGGCUUGCCACAAUGGCAGGCAAACUGGUGGGAUCUCCAACUGCAACAUCUGAAAUGAAGAGGCAAAGAAAACAUUACUAACUUACUCACAUUACCUAUUAUACAAGCAAGGCACAAAGCACACUUUAAUGGCAAAGUUACUAUAUCAUGGAUGUUUGAAUGUUAAAACAGUAGCAUACCAACACACAAGCAAAAAAAAAAAAAAAGUGUGCCACACCAUGGGGUACAUUUACUAAGAUGGGAGUUCUAUUUAAGAUGGGACGUUGCCCAUAGCAACCAAUCAGAUUCCACAUAUUAUCUUCUAGAAGGUGCUAAAUAAAUGAGAAGUAGAAUCUGAUUGG